rnacentral:piRNA from 1 species
UUCAACAUGACUUGAUCCCUUCUCUAUGCCU